rnacentral:lncRNA from 1 species
AUGCCAGAGCAUUCUAAUAGGAAGCUCAUCACCACAUUUUCAGGAUCUUAUGGCACAAAGCACUGCGCAGAAGCUGCACCAAUCCUUGCUGUCCCUGGCAGCAGAAUGGUAGAAGGUGGGAGAGACCAGGAAUCCUUCCAGGCUGAGCUGACUUUAGAAAUGAGGAUUGCACACGUUUGUCUCCUGAACCAAAAGGAGAUAAGCAGCAGAAUUUAUCAGGCGUGAAAGGGACAGCCUCCUGGUGGCCUGCCAAAAACCCAGAAUAAAGGCGAAGUUGUGCUUCA